CUGAGUUAUCUAAACUCCAAACCCUUUGUGAACCUUACCACAGUUGCCUCGGCGUGAGCUGCGGCUACCCUGUAGCUACCCUGUAGCUACCCUGUAGUCCGCGCUACGGCCCGCCGGUGGACCACUAAACUCUGUUUAUGCUAGUGUAUCUCUGAAUAUUUAGCGAAAUACGUUA
rnacentral:misc_RNA from 1 species